CCUACGGGGGGCAGCAGUGGGGGAUAUUGCACAAUGGGGGAAACCCUGAUGCAGCGACGCCGCGUGGGUGAAGAAGUAUUUCGGUAUGUAAAGCCCUAUCAGCAGGGAAGAAAGAAGACGGUACCUGACUAAGAAGCCCCGGCUAACUACGUGCCAGCAGCCGCGGUACUACGUAGGGGGCGAGCGUUAUCCGGAUUCACUGGGUGUAAAGGGAGCGUAGACGGCCGUGCAAGCCAGGAGUGAAAGCCCGGGGCGCAACCCCGGGACUGCUCUUGGAACUGUGCGGCUGGAGUGCGGGAGGGGCAGGCGGAAUUCCUGGUGUAGCGGUGAAAUGCGUAGAGAUCAGGAGGAACACCGGCGGCGAAGGCGGCCUGCUGGACCGCGACUGACGUUGAGGCUCGAAAGCGUGGGGAGCGAACAGGAUUAGAUACCCUUGUAGUC
rnacentral:rRNA from 1 species